UACGGAGGGUGCAAGCGUUAUCCGGAUUCACUGGGUUUAAAGGGUGCGUAGGCGGGUUGGUAAGUCAGUGGUGAAAUCUUCAAGCUUAACUUGGAAACUGCCGUUGAUACUAUCAAUCUUGAAUAUUGUGGAGGUAAGCGGAAUAUGUCAUGUAGCGGUGAAAUGCUUAGAUAUGACAUAGAACACCGAUAGCGAAGGCAGCUUGCUACACAGUAAUUGACGCUGAGGCACGAAAGCUAGGGGAGCAAACAGG
rnacentral:rRNA from 1 species